rnacentral:rRNA from 1 species
GACCUCGGAUCAGGUAGGGAUACCCGCUGAACUUAAGCAUAUCAAUAAGCGGAGGAAAAGAAACCAACAGGGAUUGCCUUAGUAACGGCGAGUGAAGCGGCAACAGCUCAAAUUUGAAAUCUGGCCCCUCCGGGGUCCGAGUUGUAAUUUGUAGAGGAUGUUUCGGGCGACGCGCCGGUCUAAGUCCCUUGGAACGGGGCGUCAUAGAGGGUGAGAAUCCCGUACGAGACCGGUGACCGAGCCUAUGUGAAACUCCUUCGACGAGUCGAGUUGUUUGGGAAUGCAGCUCAAAAUGGGUGGUAAAUUUCAUCUAAAGCUAAAUACCGGCCAGAGACCGAUAGCGCACAAGUAGAGUGAUCGAAAGAUGAAAAGCACUUUGGAAAGAGAGUCAAAAAGUACGUGAAAUUGUUGAAAGGGAAGCGCUUGCAACCAGACCUGCCCGCGGGUGAUCAACCGUCCUUCUGGGCGGUGCACUCGCCCGCGAUCAGGCCAGCAUCGGUUCGGGCGGCCGGAUAAAGGCCUUGGGAACGUAGCUCCUUUCGGGGAGUGUUAUAGCCCUUGGUGCAAUGCGGCCAGCCCGGACCGAGGACCGCGCUUUGGCUAGGAUGCUGGCGUAAUGGUUGUAAGCGGCCCGUCUUGAAACACGGACCAAGGAGUCUAACAUCUAUGCGAGUGUUUGGGUGUCAAACCCAUACGCGUAAUGAAAGUGAACGGAGGUGGGAACCCCCCGGGGCGCACCAUCGACCGAUCCAGAUGUCUUCGGAUGGAUUUGAGUACGAGCAUAGCUGUUGGGACCCGAAAGAUGGUGAACUAUGCCUGAAUAGGGUGAAGCCAGAGGAAACUCUGGUGGAGGCUCGCAGCGGUUCUGACGUGCAAAUCGAUCGUCAAAUUUGGGCAUAGGGGCGAAAGACUAAUCGAACCAUCUAGUAGCUGGUU